AAAAAGAAAAAAGGAAGAAGAAGAAGGAGAUGAAGAAUGGAUAAGGAAAUGGAAAGAUCAAAAUGCAUAAGGUGAAAUCAAAUGUACCAAUCCAUAUGUAUUGACCAAAUGACAUUGAAAGUCAAAGUCAAACAAUGAGAAAUCAGAAAUGAGAUGAAGAUUGGAGGUCAAACAAUAAGCAAAAUAUUUUUGGUAUUUUCAACAUUAAAAUAAACUUGAAUUA
rnacentral:lncRNA from 1 species